ACGGGAGGCAGCAGUGGGGAAUAUUGCACAAUGGGGGAAACCCUGAUGCAGCGACGCCGCGUGAGUGAAGAAGUUAUUCGUAAUGUAAAGCUCUAUCAGCAGGGAAGAAAAUGACGGUACCUGACUAAGAAGCCCCGGCUAACUACGUGCCAGCAGCCGCGGUAAUACGUAGGGGGCAAGCGUUAUCCGGAUUUACUGGGUGUAAAGGGAGCGCAGACGGCUUUGCAAGUCUGAUGUGAAAGGCAGGGGCUCAACUCCUGGACUGCAUUGGAAACUGUAGGGCUAGAGUGUCGGAGAGGUAAGCGGAAUUCCUAGUGUAGCGGUGAAAUGCGUAGAUAUUAGGAGGAACACCAGUGGCGAAGGCGGCUUACUGGACUGACACUGACGCUGAGGCACGAAAGCGUGGGGAGCAAACAGGAUUAGAUACCCUGGUA
rnacentral:rRNA from 1 species